GGGGAACCUCAAUGCCCUUCAAGUGUAAAUAAAGGUUUGAAACUAGAUAAAAAAACGUUUUAUUUGCAGGUGAUGCGUCAUUGGACUCUAGUAGCCCCGAUUUUGUGCCUUCUGUGUUUGUGAACACAAAACAAAGCCAGAACCCCGAUGCAAAGAUGGACAGGUACCAUAGGAAAAGGAGGAGAGAUGACAGAGCUACCACUGCAGCAAAUCCUCCUGUUCCUUCUGAAACACCAGAACAAGAAUGCAGCAUGGAUCACUGUUCUGGCUUGUCAGCACUGCAACACCUGGGUCCACAACCUGCAGUUCCCGGAUGUCAUCAUCUGUCAACACUGAUAAUAGAGCCACAAAAAUAGACAAUAAUUGUGCUGCAUAAUCGUCAUUUUAAGAAUACUGACUGAAUUAUUCUUAAACCAGGUGUAAAAUAGAUGACAAAUAAUCUGAAGACAUGCACAGACAUAUUAAAGCUAACAUAACAAAUGAUACUGACAUUAUUCAAACUGUGUCUGUAGGCCUUUUCAUCUAUCUAUGCAUAAAUCCUCAGAAUUAAU
ensembl:lncRNA